rnacentral:siRNA from 1 species
AGCGAUUGAGGCGGAAGCUCUGGC